AUUGAACGCUGGCGGCAUGCCUUACACAUGCAAGUCGAACGGUAACAGGUCUUCGGAUGCUGACGAGUGGCGAACGGGUGAGUAAUACAUCGGAACGUGCCCGAGAGUGGGGGAUAACGAGGCGAAAGCUUUGCUAAUACCGCAUACGAUCUCAGGAUGAAAGCAGGGGACCGCAAGGCCUUGCGCCCACGGAGCGGCCGAUGGCAGAUUAGGUAGUUGGGGGGAUAAAAGCUUACCAAGCCGACGAACUGUAGCUGGUCUGAGAGGACGACCCGCCACACUGGGACUGAGACACGGCCCAGACUCCUCCGGGAGGCAGCAGUGGGGAAUUUUGGACAAUGGGCGCAAGCCUGAUCCAGCCAUGCCGCGUGCAGGAAGAAGGCCUGCGGGUUGUAAACUGCUUUUGUACGGAACGAAACGGUCCGGGCUAAUACCCUGGGCUAAUGACGGUACCGUAAGAAUAAGCACCGGCUAACUACGUGCCAGCAGCCGCAGUAACAC
rnacentral:rRNA from 1 species